rnacentral:misc_RNA from 1 species
UCCCAUCUAGGAGCACAGCACAG